rnacentral:lncRNA from 1 species
UUCAAAGCAUCGGCUGGAGCAGGGUCCCCAUUAAAGCCAGAGACGCUGACGCCAUGGGGCUGGGGUUGGGGCUGGGCCGGGGCUUUGGGAGGUCCGAACUCCCCAGCAGGGAGCCAGGGCUCUGGGCCAGUUCCCAGGCCCAGUUAAUCUUCAGUAGAAUCGAUCGACCUUGGCUCAGAGGGUUGGAGGCAGGGAUGGGCAGGGGGUGAGGGGUGAGGCGCACGAAACAGCACCCGGGUGAGGCCCCUGCUGCGGCCCCUGCGGGACCAGCCACGAAUUCCGGGCUUCAGCCCCGCCAGCUUCAGAGGCGGCGUUUUCGGUGCGACGCUGCCACCUGCUGGCUGUCUGGGAGUUGCACCCAGAGGCUCAGAACCCGUGUUUCUCAGAGGGCCCGGGAGGGGCGAAACUGCGGGUUCCCAGGCCCUCCCGGAUUCUGCGCAGGUGGACGCUGGGGGCUGUUUCACAGGCGCCCACAUGAUAGGGGAGCUGGAGGAACCUGCCGUCUCCGCCAUCGAGCGCCCCUCCGAGCUGGGGUUGGACGCUGCCAGUUUGCACAGCAGCAGGUGACGCUGCAGAGGUGAGUGGCCGGGGCAUCCAGAGCUUCCCUGAAUGACUGGGCCACGACGAUGAAGGCGUCAGGGCUGCAGCCUGCUGGGCGUGCCCCAGCCAAGUUUUCAGGACGGCCUCUGCUUCUCCUUCGGGGAAGGAGCAGCCCUACUCCCUCUGAUGGGGCUGCCUGGGAGGGUUGGAUUUGUUGUUUGUAGGGAAAGACUGGGGCGGAGAGCAGGGUGCUGUGGCCCCUCUCGUCCCUUUCUGGUUCCUGGGGCUGUCCGCACAGAGCAGGUGGGGACACGCUGGCUGGAUUUCAUCUGGAUCAGAGGAGGGUGAGAGGAUGGUCUCCUGGUGGGGAGUGCAGAGCCUCAGCUCUGGAGUGUGGAGAAGGAUCCAGCUUGUUGGGUGGUGUAUGGUCAGAAGUGGGGACCUCGGGGCCUCAGAUCUGGCCUCUGAUCCCAACUCUGUUCCCCUCGGAGCCACCCUUCCCUCAUCCAUCAGGAGCCAGUAGCAGCCCCAGGACAGCUGCCGUGGGAUAAAUAAAAGGAGCCGCCUUCAGGAGCUGCCUGCCGAGUGUCCACAGAACGUAGCGUCUUCCCAGCACUCAGCGGGUCCUGAUGGGCCUCCUUCCCACCGCCCUCUUCCGAGUGUGGGGAGCUCAACCCCUGACUUGGGGUCCCGGGACAUUCAGUUUUGUGUGUGAUCAGGGAGGCAGCGCCUGACCCACAGAAAGCACCUGCUACUGGUGGGGUCUCAGAUCUGUGCACACCUGUGUCCCGGGCUCCUCACUGUCCGGGUGGUCACACUGUCCCUGCGCUGCUGGACUUGGGGGCUUGGGUGCAGCCAGCCUUGUGCUCCUCAGCCUCCCUGGUACAGGAGGACUGUCCAUCUGCCUGGCAGGGGCAAGGCCGUCUUCAGCGGAGAGACCUGGAGGCCACGUGGUCUGCUCAGAAGUACCUGCAUGCAGUUUGAUGCCCUGCUGCAGCAAUCUUGAAAUUCUUAGUAAUUUUAUCUUUGAAUGCUCGCUUUGUAAGUGCAAUCUAAGGAUGGUGGCGUGAGCAUGACUGAAGGAAGCUGGAGAUGGUCAGGGUGCGAGUCCACUGCGGAGCCAGUAGGUGCCAGUGGUUCGAGAGGCCACGCUUUCCCUUGACUCAGAGCUGGCCCCAAGUGCAGAAAGGAGGUGGUGUUGCUCUCAGAUGCCCACACAACCAAGGACACAUCCCCCCCGUCUCCCUGGGACUCCCAUGUGAGCUGGCCACCUGCACUGCAGAUGACGAUGUGGAAGGAGAGAGAAAGACAGGAGACCGCGGCUUUUCCUUUCAGUCCUUCGUACCCAACAGCAACUGAGAGGGCGUCCCGGCAGGGUAUGAAUGGCCAGCAGGACGCUGAGGCUGCGUGGCGUUUCCACCGUGCUGCAGGAACAAGAUGCACAUCGUGCAGGAGCCGCAGAGCACGCGUGCAGAGGUUUCGGUGGCUUUGCCCCGCAGCUAACGUGUGCGUGUGUGCCUUGACUUAUAUUUGCAUUACUUAGAAUGACAUUCAAUAGCAAAUGAAAGACAGCCGGCAAGUCAAUAGAGAGAAUGCGGAAGGAAGGAGAAGGCUUUGUUUGUGGCUCUGAGGGCACUUUUCCUCCUGCAUUUGCAUUUUGCACUGUGCAGAUUUGCACCGUGCAGCCACCCGGGCCUCCUCGGGUCUGGGGCUCCAUUUCCAGCACCCCCACCCAGCGCUGUGGGCCCCUCCCCCACGCACCUCCCCCACUUUGGUGGUGACAGUUGGUUGUGGAGGAACAAUCGUCAGUGAUGGGUGAACUAGCUGUGUUUCACGUGGCCUCCUCAUCACUCUGCCAAGCCCCUGGGGCAGGCACAUUUUGGCUGCCAUCGACUCUAGAAUGUUCUCUGGUGUCUCCAGGGGGUGUGCAGAGCUGGUCCCUCCCAGCGAGGAGCUCUGCUCACAGGUUCACACCCCCUGCCCUGUUCUCCAAGAUGGGAAUGUCUGAUGAGAGCCCCAGAGAAGAAUCAGCCGCUGGGGGUCGGGGAGGUGUUGGACUCUCUUGAAACAAAGGAGGCCCAAGCCUGGGGUCACGGGGCUGGGGGUGGGGGUGGGGUGGGAGGGAGUGGGCAGUGACCUGAGAACAGGAAGGGAGGUGGAGGUCUUGGGUCACGGGUGAUGGAUGAUGGAGGAACAGGCCCAGGAGGCCCUGCUUGCUGGGGGCUUCUUUCCUCUUGCGUAGUCACCCUGUGGGGGGCUCUCAAACUCACAGAGUUUGGCCGUAGGGAAGUGCAGGGGUGGCCUGGGAGGCUGCAGGCUCUGGGACAGCCUGGCUCACACAGGAGAUGGGAUGGCGCUGAGAGGAGACCCCGGGGCGCCCAGCGUCUCAGGCUAUAAGGAGCAGCCACUCAUUGUGACACCCGAUGGUGAAAUGCUGCAUUAUUAUUUAUGGUGUUGAAUAAUCACAGCACAAUCAUUGCAGGCCACAGGGCAGA